rnacentral:tRNA from 1 species
GCGGGUAUCGAUUAAUGGUUAAAUUAACUGCCUUCCAAGCAGUGGCUAUGGGUUCGAAUCCCAUUACCCGCA